rnacentral:rRNA from 1 species
UACAGAGGUCUCAAGCGUUGUUCGGAUUUACUGGGCGUAAAGGGUGCGUAGGUGGCUUAAUAAGUCUGGUGUGAAAUCUUCGAGCUCAACUCGAAAACUGCACUGGAAACUAUCGAGCUCGAGGGUUGCAGGGGGGAUUGGAAUUCUCGGUGUAGCAGUGAAAUGCGUAGAUAUCGAGAGGAACACCAGUGGCGAAGGCGAAUCCCUGGACAACUCCUGACACUGAGGCACGAAAGCUAGGGGAUCAAACAGG